UACGUAGGGGGCUAGCGUUGUCCGGAAUCAUUGGGCGUAAAGCGCGUGUAGGCGGCCCGGUAAGUCCGCUGUGAAAACUCGAGGCUCAACCUCGAGAUGUCGGCGGAAACCAUCUGGCUAGAGUCCGGAAGAGGAGAGUGGAAUUCCUGGUGUAGCGGUGAAAUGCGCAGAUAUCAGGAAGAACACCCGUGGCGAAGGCGGCUCUCUGGGACGGUACUGACGCUGAGACGCGAAAGCGUGGGGAGCGAACAGG
rnacentral:rRNA from 1 species